UCCCUGGUGGCUCAGACAGUAAAGAACCUGCCUGCAGUGCAGGAGAUCCAGGUUAGAUCCCUGGGUUGGGAA
rfam:TPA: Bos taurus chromosome 19, whole genome shotgun sequence.